CCGCACCAAUGGGGAUCUUGAGCAACUGCCCCGCCACCCCCAAGGAAGAUAGGGGGCUUCUUGCUCCUUCUCCAAGUGGUAGGCAGGAAGUGGAUUAGCUCGGAGGGGUCCAGAAAUGAUGGCUCUGUGGUAUGAAGUCUGUGGUUAGGUAGUGGAUUAGCUCGGAGGGGACCAGAAAUGAUGGCUCUGAGGUAUGAAGUCUGUGGUUAGGUAGUGUAUUAGCUCAGAGGGGACCAGAAAUCAUGGCUCUGAGGUAUGAAGUCUGUGGUUAGGUAGUGUAUUAGCUCAGAGGGGUCCAGAAGUGAUGGCUCUGUGGUAUGAAGUCUGUGGUAGGCAGCAAGUGUAUUAGCUCAGAGGGGUCCAGAAAUGAUGGCUCUGAAAUAGGA